rnacentral:rRNA from 1 species
AUUGAACGCUGGCGGCAUGCUUUACACAUGCAAGUCGAACGGUAACAGGUCUUCGGAUGCUGACGAGUGGCGAACGGGUGAGUAAUACAUCGGAACGUGCCUAGUAGUGGGGGAUAACUACUCGAAAGAGUAGCUAAUACCGCAUGAGAUCUACGGAUGAAAGCAGGGGACCUUCGGGCCUUGUGCUACUAGAGCGGCCGAUGGCAGAUUAGGUAGUUGGUGGGGUAAAGGCUUACCAAGCCUGCGAUCUGUAGCUGGUCUGAGAGGACGACCAGCCACACUGGGACUGAGACACGGCCCAGACUCCUACGGGAGGCAGCAGUGGGGAAUUUUGGACAAUGGGCGAAAGCCUGAUCCAGCAAUGCCGCGUGCAGGAUGAAGGCCCUCGGGUUGUAAACUGCUUUUGUACGGAACGAAAAGCCUGGGGCUAAUAUCCCCGGGUCAUGACGGUACCGUAAGAAUAAGCACCGGCUAACUACGUGCCAGCCGCCGCCGUAA